rnacentral:rRNA from 1 species
GUGCCAGCAGCCGCGGUAAUUCCAGCUCCAAUAGCGUAUAUUAAAGUUGUUGUGGUUAAAAAGCUCGUAGUUGAACCUUGGGCCUGGCUGGCCGGUCCGCCUCACCGCGUGCACUGGUCCGGCCGGGCCUUUCCCUCUGUGGAACCCCAUACCCUUCACUGGGCGUGGCGGGGAAACAGGACAUUUACUUUGAAAAAAUUAGAGUGCUCCAGGCAGGCCUAUGCUCGAAUACAUUAGCAUGGAAUAAUAAAAUAGGACGCGCGGUUCUAUUUUGUUGGUUUAUAGGACCGCCGUAAUGAUUAAUAGGGACAGUCGGGGCAUCAGUAUUCAACUGUCAGAGGUGAAAUUCUUGGAUCAGUUGAAGACUAACUACUGCGAAAGCAUUUGCCAAGGAUGUUUUCAUUAAUCAGGAACGAAAGUUAGGGGAUCGAAGACGAUCAGAUACCGUCGUAGUCUUAACCAUAAACUAUGCCGACUAGGGAUCGGACGGUGUUAUUCAUGACCCGUUCGGCACCUUACGAGAAAUCAAAGUGCUUGGGCUCCAGGGGGAGUAUGGUCGCAAGGCUGAAACUUAAAGAAAUUGACGGAAGGGCACCACCAGGGGUGGAGCCUGCGGCUUAAUUUGACUCAACACGGGGAAACUCACCAGGUCCAGACACAAUAAGGAUUGACAGAUUGAGAGCUCUUUUCUUGAUUUUGUGGGUGGUGUGCAUGCCGUUCUUAGUGGUGGGGUGACUUGUCUGCUAGUAGCGAUAACGACGAGAUCUUAACCUGCUAAAUAGCCCGCAGUGCUCCGGCAGUGCGCUGCUUCUU